rnacentral:rRNA from 1 species
AGCAGCCGCGGUAAUUCCAGCUCCAAUAGCGUAUAUUAAAGUUGUUGCAGUUAAAAAGCUCGUAGUUGAAUUUUGGGUUUGGCUGAUUGGUCCGUUCUUGUAACGAGUACUGGUCGGUUGGGCCUCACCGCUUGGUGAUGCGUAAUGCCCUUUAUUGGGUGUUGCGAGUAGCCAAGACCUUUACCUUGAAAAAUUAGAGUGUUUAAAGCAGGCAUAUGCCGGAAUACAUUAGCAUGGAAUAAUAGAAUAGGACAACGAUUCUAUUUUGUUGGUUUCUAGGACCGUUGUAAUGAUUAAUAGGGAUAGUUGGGGGCAUUAGUAUUCAAUUGUCAGAGGUGAAAUCCUUGGAUUUAUUGAAGACUAACUACUGCGAAAGCAUUUGCCAAGGAUGUUUUCAUUAAUCAAGAACGAAA